rnacentral:misc_RNA from 1 species
CAAUAAGUUCCAGAACAAAUUACUUGAAAUAAUAGAUGAAAGUGAGUUGCCCGAAUUUCUGGGUGGGAGCUGUACAUGUGCUGAUCAGGGAGGUUGUAUGAGAUCUGACAAGGGGCCAUGGAAGGAUCCAAACAUUCUAAAGAUGGUUGAGAAUGGUGAANCAAAUAGUAACAUUUUCAAACAGUGAAUCUGAUAAGCAACGUUAUCCACUGAUAAAAACUGGUGAUACAUCUACCGCAGAGUCAGGAUCUGAAGUGGAAGAUGUUGCAUCUCCUAAACCAACUAGGAGUUAUUUGCUCCCAAGAUUGACUCCUGUCUGUGAAGAAGCUAGGGUUAUUGGUAAGGCAAGUCCUGCUAGAGGCUUCUUAGAAUAUGAUGAAUAUGUACCCAUGAUUG